rnacentral:lncRNA from 1 species
UGCUGCAGUAAAAAGGUUUCAUGUGAAGUACAUAUAUAGUAUGGGAUGUGCUGUAUAAGAACUGACCAUUGUUAUUUUUCUACUUAUUUAAAAUGCGGUCUUUAUAGUAUUUUAUAUUAUGUUAAUACCCCAUCUCUUUAAAAUGCUGCAGUAAAAAGAUUUACAUUGAAUUACACAUAUACUAUGGGAUGUCCUGUAUAAGAACUGACCAUUGUUUUUUCUACUUAUUUAAAAUAAACUCUUUAUAGUACUUUAUAUUAUUUUAAUACCCCGUUUCUUUAAAAUGCUGCAGUAAAAAGCUUUUAUGUGAAGUACACACAUAGAUUAGGAUGUCCUGUAUAAGAUCUGACCAUUGUUUUUUUCUACUUAUUUGAAUUGGGUUUUUUAUAGCACUUUAAAAUAUGUUAAUACCCUGUUCCUCCAAAACACUGUAGUUAAAAGUUUUCUUGUGUAGUAAAGAUAUAGUAUGGUAUGUCCUGUAUAAGAACUGACCAUUGUUUUUUCCUACUUAUUUGAAAUGUAGUCUUUAUAGCACUUUUUAUUAGGUCAUUAGCCCGUUUCUCUAAAACAGUGCAGUAAAAAGAUUUCAUAUUAAGUACACAUAUAGCAUAGGAUGUUCUGUACAGGAACUGAUCAUUGUUUUUGUCUACUUAUUGUAAAUUGGGUCUUUAUAACACUGAGUAAUGUUAAUACCCAAUUUCUCCAAAACACUGCAGUAACAAGUCUUUAUUUGAAGUUUAGAAUGUGAUGUCCUGUAUCAGACCUGACUAUUGUUUUUUCUACAUAUUUUAAAUGAGCAAUUUUUUUCCAAAUUGCUGAAGUAAAAAGUAUUCAGAUGUAGUAUAUAUGCAUAUAGCAUGGGACAUCCAGUAUCGAACCAGAUCAGUCUUUUAUUUAACUUAUGUCAAACAAUGUAUUUAUAGCACUUUAAAGACUUUAUAGCUCAAUAAUAGCACAUUUCUCCAAAAUGCUGCAGUAAGUUAUUAUGAGGUAUGCAUAUAAUAUUGGAUGUCCUGUCCAUUGUUUUCUUCUGCUCACCUAAAUGAGGUCUUUUACAUGAGGUAUGCAUGUACAUCCUGUAUCAGAACCAAACUUUGUUUUUUUCUACUUAUUUUUUUAUAGCACUUUAAAGCGUGUUAAUGGUACAUUUCUCCAAAAUACUGCAGUAAAACAGGCUUCAUAUGAUGUAUGCUUAGUAUUUGACUUCCUGCAUCAGAUCUUAUUGUUGUUCUAUUCUACUUAUAACAAAUAAUAAGGUCUUUACAGUCAUCUAAAGUGUAAUAAUGCCCCAUAUCCCAUAUACUGAAAGAAGCAUAACCUUUUAAAUCCCCUUUAAAUGAAAUAAACAUAAAUUUGUAAUUCAAACAAUGUUUUGUUGGACUACUUUAUGAUUGUUUUCACUUUCUGAGGUUAGCCACGUUGUAUAAAAUUGCAUUCAACCUUAUUUGCAAUGUACUGUAGUUGGUUAGGAGAAGUAGAAACGCAUUCUGUGUAUUUAGAAAUCGUAUAUUUAUUCUGUCCGUUUGAUCUGCUAUAAAAUCAUUUGAAGCAAAAAGAUAAACUUGAGGAAAUUAAAGGUAAGCCCAGAAACCAAUUUCUUAAAAUAACAACAGUCAAAAAAAGCUAAUGAAUUGUUUAAUAAAGCAUUCGUGGGAGGAAAGGGGGAUAAACUUAUAUAUCGUUGUCUCUGUUCUGGGCGAAAUG